rnacentral:tRNA from 1 species
CCCUGGUUAGCUCAGUUGGUGGAGCGCUCCACCUGUAAUGGAGAGGUCCCGGUUCGAUACCCGGACCAGGCG